UACGGGGGGAGCAAGCGUUGUUCGGAUUUACUGGGCGUAAAGGGCGCGUAGGCGGCCACUGCAAGUCAGUUGUGAAAUCUCCGGGCUUAACUCGGAAAGGUCAACUGAUACUGCAGGGCUAGAGUGUGGAAGGGGUAACUGGAAUUCUCGGUGUAGCGGUGAAAUGCGUAGAUAUCGAGAGGAACACCUGUGGCGAAGGCGGCUCGCUGGGCCGCAACUGACGCUGAUGCGCGAAAGCUAGGGGAGCGAACGGG
rnacentral:rRNA from 1 species